GAGGGUAUAGCUCAGAGGUAGAGCGCAUGCCUAGAAUACACAAGGUCCUGGGUUCAAUCCCCAGUACCUCCA
rnacentral:tRNA from 1 species